rnacentral:rRNA from 1 species
AGUGAACGCUGGCGGCGUGCUUAACACAUGCAAGUCGAACGAGAACGGGUUAUAGCUUGCUAUAAUUGUCAGCUAAGUGGCGCACGGGUGAGUAAUGUAUAGGUAAUAUGCCUCUUACUAAGGGAUAACAAAUGGAAACGUUUGCUAAUACCUUAUACUCCUUAUUAACAGAAGUUAAUAAGGGAAAGAUUUAUUGGUAAGAGAUUAGCCUGUAUUGUAUCAGUUGGUUGGUGGGGUAUGGCUUACCAAGACUAUGACACAUAACUGGUUUGAGAGGAUGAUCAGUCACACUGGAACUGAGACACGGUCCAGACUCCUACGGGAGGCAGCAGUGGGGAAUAUUGCACAAUGGACGAAAGUCUGAUGCAGCAACGCCGCGUGGAGGAUGACACAUUUCGGUGCGUAAACUCCUUUUAUAUGAGAAGAUAAUGACGGUAUUAUAUGAAUAAGCACCGGCUAACUCCGUGCCAGCCGCCGCGGUAACAC